rnacentral:rRNA from 1 species
CCUACGGGAGGCAGCAGUGGGGAAUAUUGCACAAUGGGGGAAACCCUGAUGCAGCCAUGCCGCGUGUGUGAAGAAGGUCUUCGGGUUGUAAAGCACUUUCAGCGAGGAGGAAAGGUUGAUGCCUAAUACGUAUCAGCUGUGACGUUACUCGCAGAAGAAGUACCGGCUAACUCCGUGCCAGCAGCCGCGGUAAUACGGAGGG